rnacentral:rRNA from 1 species
UACGUAGGGUGCGAGCGUUGUCCGGAAUUACUGGGCGUAAAGAGCUCGUAGGUGGUUUGUCGCGUUGUCCGUGAAAACUCACAGCUUAACUGUGGGCGUGCGGGCGAUACGGGCAGACUGGAGUACUGCAGGGGAGACUGGAAUUCCUGGUGUAGCGGUGGAAUGCGCAGAUAUCAGGAGGAACACCGGUGGCGAAGGCGGGUCUCUGGGCAGUAACUGACGCUGAGGAGCGAAAGCGUGGGUAGCGAACAGG